GGGUUGUUAAGAUUCGGGAUGGAUGGGUGGUGGCAGAGCUGUUGGACCCUACUGCACUACUCUAACUAUUGGCUUAUAGACUCUUCUGUCCAGCAUCAGCUGACCUGAUAGUCGUUGGUGGGUACAUGAAUGUCAUGACAGAUCACAGGUCCCAGGAUUAGGCCUUCUGAGAAGCUGCAACGUACCUUGUAGGUCCAGCUGAGAAAGUGAAGAAGAAACCUGUCAGGAUGCCAUCACAAGCACCGUAUAUCAGAAACACACUGGACAGAAAACCCAGCUCAAACACUAACUUUGUUUUUGCAAAGCAGGAAACGUUGCUUAAAAUCAUAUAGUAAAUAUUUCUUUGUGUAUCAUGGGGAGCUUUCAUGUAAGCUCAGAUUAACUGGAAAUCAGGACAAGGCCUGAACUUUGCUCCCUCAUCGCUAUGAAAGCAAUCGUCUGGGGUAUUUUUCAAGGAAGCCCCUCAGCUCUUGAGCUAGGCAGAAAUGCAUUGCAAUUGACCUCAAUACCGCGUU